rnacentral:rRNA from 1 species
AGUGAACGCUGGCGGUAGGCCUAACACAUGCAAGUCGAACGGCAGCACAGUAAGAGCUUGCUCUUACGGGUGGCGAGUGGCGGACGGGUGAGGAAUACAUCGGAAUCUACUUUUUCGUGGGGGAUAACGUAGGGAAACUUACGCUAAUACCGCAUACGACCUACGGGUGAAAGCAGGGGAUCUUCGGACCUUGCGCGAUUGAAUGAGCCGAUGUCGGAUUAGCUAGUUGGCGGGGUAAAGGCCCACCAAGGCGACGAUCCGUAGCUGGUCUGAGAGGAUGAUCAGCCACACUGGAACUGAGACACGGUCCAGACUCCAACGGGAGGCAGCAGUGGGGAAUAUUGGACAAGGGGCGCAAGCCUGAUCCAGCCAUACCGCGUGGGUGAAGAAGGCCUUCGGGUUUUAAAGCCAUUUUGUUGGGAAAGAAAAGCAGCAGGUUAAUACCCCGCUGUGCUGACGGUACCCAAAGAAUAAGCACCGGCUAACUUCGUG